rnacentral:RNase_P_RNA from 2 species
UUAGGAAGAUGGGCAGUUAGUCCGACGUCACGUCGGACAGGAAAGUCCAGACAGCGCAGAGCAGGGUGGUCGUCGCAAGGCGACAGUCGUAAGACCUAGUUAGAGCAACAGUGACGAACCGAGGUAAGGCUCGGGUGAAACGUGGCAAUCCUCCCCGCUGCAAUCCUAGAACCGGCUGAGUUGCUCGCUCUUUAGCCGAAAUGAGGAGCAUAAGAUAAAUACUGCUAAAACAGAAUCUGGCUUACGUUCUUCCUAAGCAC